UUUGAUGGCGACCGGCGCACGGGUGAGUAACACGUAUCCAACCUGCCGAUGACUCGGGGAUAGCCUUUCGAAAGAAAGAUUAAUACCCGAUGGCAUAGUUCUUCCGCAUGGUAGAACUAUUAAAGAAUUUCGGUCAUCGAUGGGGAUGCGUUCCAUUAGGUUGUUGGCGGGGUGACGGCCCACCAAGCCUUCGAUGGAUAGGGGUUCUGAGAGGAAGGUCCCCCACAUUGGAACUGAGACACGGUCCAAACUCCUACGGGAGGCAGCAUG
rnacentral:rRNA from 1 species